rnacentral:rRNA from 1 species
GUGACUGCGUACCUUUUGUAUAAUGGGUCAGCGACUUAUAUUCUGUAGCAAGGUUAACCGUAUAGGGGAGCCGAAGGGAAACCGAGUCUUAACUGGGCGUUAAGUUGCAGGGUAUAGACCCGAAACCCGGUGAUCUAGCCAUGGGCAGGUUGAAGGUUGGGUAACACUAACUGGAGGACCGAACCGACUAAUGUUGAAAAAUUAGCGGAUGACUUGUGGCUGGGGGUGAAAGGCCAAUCAAACCGGGAGAUAGCUGGUUCUCCCCGAAAGCUAUUUAGGUAGCGCCUCGUGAAUUCAUCUUCGGGGGUAGAGCACUGUUUCGGCUAGGGGGUCAUCCCGACUUACCAACCCGAUGCAAACUGCGAAUACCGAAGAAUGUUAUCACGGGAGACACACGGCGGGUGCUAACGUCCGUCGUGAAGAGGGAAACAACCCAGACCGCCAGCUAAGGUCCCAAAGUCAUGGUUAAGUGGGAAACGAUGUGGGAAGGCACAGACAGCCAGGAUGUUGGCUUAGAAGCAGCCAUCAUUUAAAGAAAGCGUAAUAGCUCACUGGUCGAGUCGGCCUGCGCGGAAGAUGUAACGGGGCUAAACCAUGCACCGAAGCUGCGGCAGCGACACUAUGUGUUGUUGGGUAGGGGAGCGUUCUGUAAGCCGUUGAAGGUGUGCUGUGAGGCAUGCUGGAGGUAUCAGAAGUGCGAAUGCUGACAUAAGUAACGAUAAUGCGGGUGAAAAACCCGCACGCCGGAAGACCAAGGGUUCCUGUCCAACGUUAAUCGGGGCAGGGUGAGUCGACCCCUAAGGCGAGGCCGAAAGGCGUAGUCGAUGGGAAACAGGUUAAUAUUCCUGUACUUGGUGUUACUGCGAAGGGGGGACGGAGAAGGCUAUGUUAGCCGGGCGACGGUUGUCCCGGUUUAAGCAUGUAGGCGGAGGUUCCAGGUAAAUCCGGUACCUUUUUAACGCUGAGGUGUGAUGACGAGGCACUACGGUGCUGAAGUAACAAAUGCCCUGCUUCCAGGAAAAGCCUCUAAGCAUCAGGUAACACGAAAUCGUACCCCAAACCGACACAGGUGGUCAGGUAGAGAAUACCAAGGCGCUUGAGAGAACUCGGGUGAAGGAACUAGGCAAAAUGGUGCCGUAACUUCGGGAGAAGGCACGCUGAUAUGUAGGUGAAGUGAUUUACUCAUGGAGCUGAAAUCAGUCGAAGAUACCAGCUGGCUGCAACUGUUUAUUAAAAACACAGCACUGUGCAAACACGAAAGUGGACGUAUACGGUGUGACGCCUGCCCGGUGCCGGAAGGUUAAUUGAUGGGGUUAUCCGUAAGGAGAAGCUCUUGAUCGAAGCCCCGGUAAACGGCGGCCGUAACUAUAACGGUCCUAAGGUAGCGAAAUUCCUUGUCGGGUAAGUUCCGACCUGCACGAAUGGCGUAAUGAUGGCCAGGCUGUCUCCACCCGAGACUCAGUGAAAUUGAACUCGCUGUGAAGAUGCAGUGUACCCGCGGCAAGACGGAAAGACCCCGUGAACCUUUACUAUAGCUUGACACUGAACACUGGUCCUUGAUGUGUAGGAUAGGUGGGAGGCUUUGAAGUGUGGACGCCAGUCUGCAUGGAGCCAUCCUUGAAAUACCACCCUUUAAUGGCUGGUGUUCUAACGUGGACCCGUAAUCCGGGUUGCGGACAGUGUCUGGUGGGUAGUUUGACUGGGGCGGUCUCCUCCUAAAGAGUAACGGAGGAGCACGAAGGUUAGCUAAUCCUGGUCGGACAUCAGGAGGUUAGUGCAAAGGCAUAAGCUAGCUUGACUGCGAGAGUGACGGCUCGAGCAGGUGCGAAAGCAGGUCUUAGUGAUCCGGUGGUUCUGAAUGGAAGGGCCAUCGCUCAACGGAUAAAAGGUACUCCGGGGAUAACAGGCUGAUACCGCCCAAGAGUUCAUAUCGACGGCGGUGUUUGGCACCUCGAUGUCGGCUCAUCACAUCCUGGGGCUGAAGUAGGUCCCAAGG